UUGAUAUAUUAGUGUAUAAAUAUGAAUUCUGUACAAACUGUGUAUGAGGGCAUUGGGUCCUCUGUCAGGUAUUAUGCCUUUAGUCCCAACAUCCUCUUUAUUUUUUCUACAAGGAAACAUUCAAACUGAAAUGAAAACUGAAAAAAUAAAGUCAAAUAAAAAAAUAUCACUUUCACAUGUGGUGGCACUGGUGCCUAAUGAGCUGAUUUCUAUAUAUAAAGGUCUUGGGGCAUAAUCGGCACUAAAAUGGCCUCUCGCUGGCGUGUAUGCGCAGGUGAUCAUUGAAAGUGGACUUCCGCAAGAAGUUCUGAGGGCAUAAAGGGCACUGCUAUGGCCUCUCGCCUGUGUGAGUGCGCAGAUUGGAAGAGCACAUGU
rnacentral:lncRNA from 1 species